UACAGAGGGGGCAAGCGUUAUUCGGAAUUAUUGGGCGUAAAGGGCGCGUAGGCGGCCUGGCAAGUGGAAGGUGAAAUCCCUCGGCUUAACCGAGGAACUGCCCUCCAAACUGCUUGGCUUGAGUCCGGGAGAGGUGAGUGGAAUUCCACGUGUAGCGGUGAAAUGCGUAGAGAUGUGGAGGAACACCGAUGGCGAAGGCAGCCUUCUGGGCCAACACUGACGCUCAUGCACGAAAGCGUGGGGAGCAAACAGG
rnacentral:rRNA from 1 species